rnacentral:rRNA from 1 species
GACGAACGCUGGCGGCGUGCCUAAUACAUGCAAGUCGAACGCAGUGGGGACGGGUGCGUAACCCGUGGGUAACCUCCCAUCAGAGGGGAUAACACUUGGAAACAGGUGCUAAACCGAUACUGAUGGAUGGACCCGCGGUGCAUUAGCUAGGUGGGGAGGGAACGGCUCACCAAGGCAAUGAUGCCGAGCCGACCUGAGAGGGUGAUCGGCCACACGGGGACUGAGACACGGCCCAGACUCCUACGGGAGGCAGCAGUAGGGAAUCUUCGGCAAUGGACGAAAGUCUGACCGAGCAACGCCGCGUGAGUGAAGAAGGUUUUCGGAUCGUAAAACUCUGUUGUUAGAGAAGCGGUAUCUAACCAGAAAGCCACGGCUAACUACGUGCCAGCAGCCGCGGUAAUUC